CUGGGGUAUAGAAAUAUGGUCACUUGGUCUUCUCCUGACCGGCAGUAAAACGCUUGCCGAAGUGGGGCGUCCGUUUGGCUGUGCGGGAUGUAUCAAGUUCGCAAUCACGUCCUGUCAGAAGGGGGACGUUAAAUCCGAUGCCUCGUGUAAAGACAGUGCCACGCUCUUUGCACCUUAAGAACCCUUGCAACAACUCUGAGGGGUCCGUAGGUGGCCUGUUGCAAGGCAGAAUUUAUGUCCCUAUCCAAUAUACCCUCAUUUUCCAGUGGCAGUCCAAAUUUCCCCGACCAUCAUCCUAGAUGGCCCCUAUUACAACAACCUACCUAUUGUAUUUAUUGUGAACUU
rnacentral:lncRNA from 1 species